rnacentral:rRNA from 1 species
ACAGAUCGUUCAGAGUUUGAUCCUGGCUCAGGAUGAACGCUAGCGACAGGCCUAACACAUGCAAGUCGAGGGGCAGCACGAAGUAAGCUUGCUUACUUUGGUGGCGACCGGCGCACGGGUGCGUAACAGGUGUGCAAUCUGUCCAUAAUCGGGGAAUAGCCCAGCGAAAGUUGGAUUAAUGCUCCAUGUGAGUAAGAGAGGCAUCUCUUUUAUUUGAAACGCAAGGAUUAUGGGUGAGCACGCUUCUGAUUAGGUAGUUGGUGAGGUAACGGCUCACCAAGCCGACGAUCAGCAGGGGUUCUGAGAGGAAGGUCCCCCACAUUGGAACUGAGACACGGUCCAA